GACGAACGCUGGCGGCGUGCCUAAUACAUGCAAGUCGAGCGGAACCAUUGGAGCUUGCUCCUUUGGUUUAGCGGCGGACGGGUGAGUAACACGUGGGCAACCUGCCCUGCAGAUCGGGAUAACUCCGGGAAACCGGUGCUAAUACCGAAUAGUUUGCGGCCUCUCAUGAGGCUGCACGGAAAGACGGUUUCGGCUGUCACUGCAGGAUGGGCCCGCGGCGCAUUAGCUAGUUGGUGAGGUAACGGCCCACCAAGGCCACGAUGCGUAGCCGACCUGAGAGGGUGAUCGGCCACACGGAGACUGAGACACGGCCCAGACUCCUACGGGAGGCAGCAGUAGGGAAUCUGCCGCAAUGGACGAAAGUCUGACGGAGCAACGCCGCGUGAGGGAAGAAGGUUUUCGGAUCGUAAAACUCUGUUGUGAGGGAAGAACAAGUACCAAGUAACUACUGGUACCUUGACGGUACCUCACCAGAAAGCCACGGCUAACUACGUG
rnacentral:rRNA from 1 species